rnacentral:rRNA from 1 species
AAAUUGACGGGGCCCGCACAAGCGGUGGAGCAUGUGGUUUAAUUCGACGCAACGCGAAGAACCCUUACCUGGACUUGACAUCUGGGAAUCCCUAUGAAAGUAGGGAGUGCCCUUCGGGGAGCCCCAAGACAGGUGCUGCAUGGCUGUCGUCAGCUCGUGUCGUGAGAUGUUGGGUUAAGUCCCGCAACGAGCGCAACCCUUGUCUCUAGUUACCAUCAUUUGGUUGGGGACUCUAGAGAUACUGCCAAGGUUAACUUGGAGGAAGGUGGGAUGACGUCAAAUCAUCAUGCCCCUUAUGUUCUGGGCUACACACGUGCUACAAUGGCCGGUACAGACGGAGGCGAAGCCGCGAGGCGGAGCAAAUCCGAAAAAGCCGGUCUCAGUUCGGAUUGCAGGCUGCAAUUCGCCUGCAUGAAGUCGGAAUCGCUAGUAAUCGCAGGUCAGCAUACUGCGGUGAAUACGUUCCCGGGCCUU